UACGUAGGUCCCGAGCGUUGUCCGGAUUUAUUGGGCGUAAAGCGAGCGCAGGUGGUUUAUUAAGUCUGGUGUAAAAGGCAGUGGCUCAACCAUUGUAUGCAUUGGAAACUGGUAGACUUGAGUGCAGGAGAGGAGAGUGGAAUUCCAUGUGUAGCGGUGAAAUGCGUAGAUAUAUGGAGGAACACCGGUGGCGAAAGCGGCUCUCUGGCCCGUAACUGACACUGAGGCUCGAAAGCGUGGGGAGCAAACAGGAUUAG
rnacentral:rRNA from 1 species